CACAUUCCACUGUGUUGACGAUACUGUAAUUGUGAAUAAACAUAUGAUCUGGAUUUAACUGAUUUUGUGUGUAUGAAUGUAAUAAACAUAUUAAACAUAUUAAACCAUUAGCAUGUAAAAUUCAUGCAAACAUCAAUCACUUCAAAUUUCUUAUGUUGAUAACUAAUCAGAUUGUAAAGAGUUUUAUUUAGGGCAUAAAACCUAACACCUAUCGGGUUCCUUAAUGUGAACCCUGGAUGUAUUUUGACAGAUGUUGAUUUGAAAAAAUGGAGAGUUGCUUAUGACAUACCUUCAAAUGUGGAAAUGAGACUGCCUAAGUCUUAUGAGAGAGCCGACUGAGAUAUGAGAGAUUGGGUUUGUCUUUACAAAGCAGCUUUUGAUUAUGGAUUUCAGUUUCCUUUCACUCCUUUGGUGACUGAGAUACUCAGUCUUUAUGGAAUAUCUCCUGGGCAACUUAUGCCCAACGAUUGGAGGUUGCUCCUGAGCCUUGAGCAUUUUACUGAAAAGUUUGGUAUUAUAGUAGACCCCAUAAUUUUUAGGAAACGUUACUAUGCUAAAGAGCAUGAAAAAGAGAAGGGUAGAGUGCUAUUUGUUUGUCGCACUAGGAAAAAACCAUUUGUAACUUGUUUGACCAAGGCUGGCGAUUCAGAUUGGAAGAAAGCAUAUUGCUUCUUUAGAGGUGAUGGUUUAUUUGAUUCGAGGGUUGAGAAGAGUUUCACAUUCUCUUGGCAAAUAUUGAGUGAGUGUUGAAUUAUGUUUUAUUAUUGUGUUGGCUAUGUAUGUUUUAUUAAUGUCUUUUUGGCCCUUGGCGUGGAAACAGACUUCGGGGUUCAACCUAAUACGAACGAGUUUGUUGAUCGAAUUAUCGAGGAUAUUGAAUCUAUAAAAGAAAAGGACCGUAAUUUUAGGAAAUUUCUCCCCAAAAAUUUCCCGCAAAAAUCACAAGACGUUAUAGAAGAAGGUAUCCCUGAACUUCAAUCCCUUGAACACAUUCACAUCCUUCUUUUAACUCGAGAAUUUGAGACGUUUGGAAUUAAGUUUACUAUUUUGACUCACAUGACCGAAGAGCAACGCAUGUUUGCAGACAAGAUGUCCCAAAAGAGGACGAUCAAAUUUCCCAAAGCUAGUGAUGCCAUGGCUAGAGCCAAAUUGACAAUAGCUAAGAAGUCAAAGAUUGAAGGGUCCAAACAAGUUUCUAAGAGUAACUUCACUGAUGUUCCAAUGACUCCAUCUUCCCUUGGUACGUGCACUACAAUCAAGAGGAAUGCCGACUUUCUUGACCCAGAGGUUGUUGAUGAAACGAUUCUUCGAAUCCCUCACACUGUAUCGGUCUACUCUAACCCUUCGUGAAUUGAAGGGCAUGUGGAUGGAAUUCUCCAUCCUGCUGAUCGAGCACGAUUGAUUAAGCUUGGUCCAACUGGGGUUGCCAACAACGGAGUGGCUGAUGAUUACAAGAUUCUUCAAGCCAUGUUGUUCAUUCAAGAAAACUAUCCUGUGUUGGAGAAGAAGAACAAAAAAUUGACUGUUGAUAAUGCUAUCCUAAAAUUGGAGAAUGGAAAGUAGGUAGAAAUAGAGCGUGAACUUGAAGAAACCAUUAAAUCUUUGAAGGGUGAGCUUGAGGAGGUGAAGAAAGAGUUGAUUGAUGAGAAGAAAAGGACAGAGGACCUUGCCUGCGAGGCAGAACAAGUUGCAUUGACUGCUGUUAUCAAGACUCAUGGGGAACUAAUGAUCGAGUACUAGGACGGAAAUAAUGAAGAUUGGGAUGUGGCUGGUGAAAUUGAAACUUACCGUGCCCACAUGGGUUUGGAUGUUGAUGGUGAGAGGAUUGAACAACUUGAAUAUGCUUUUAUUGAGGAAGCAACUGCUGAGAUACUUGACCUUGGUACUACGAAUGAAUGUGAAGAACCCCAGGCAAAUGCUUAGUUUCAUUUUACAUUACGCUUAGUGGUUCAUGUGUCUUAACCUUUUAACUUUUUUUUUUUUUUGUUUUGAAUAUCGACAUUAACUCGAACAUGUCUCCUUUUGUGAUUUAUAGUUGUUUGUGGUGCCUAGCAAGGUUGAUGAUUUUUGGAGGAAGCAUUUACCACUUAUGUUCUAAAUGAGAGUUUAUGUUUCUUUUUUAUUUUA